UCAAGUCAAGUUCAUUAAAAUGGAUGUCCAAAUUUCGAAUUGAAUAACAUGACAAGAUCGAAAGUUAUUGAACGAAUCACAAUGAACAGUCGGAAGAAUGUCGCGUGAUGAAAUAAAAACAUUCCUAAUUGUAAAAGAAUUCGCUAAAUUCAUAGAUCAAAUUUGGUUUUGUAUUCAUACAAAAUUCACUGGAAACAAGCGAUUCUCAUUCUGAAUGAUGAAUUUGAACAAUUAUUUUUUGUCAAACUUCAUAUCAAUCAACAAUUUCAAAGUCAAAAAUUGUUUCAGUAAUUUUUUGUCCUAUUUUUCAUAUCAACAAAGUAAUCCCACGUCAAAUAUUAUUAUUCUGUAAUGAAAUCAAUAUUGACAUUCACAUCAUUGGAAUUGAAAGAAUUUCGUGUUAUCAAUCUCAACAAUUGGUAGCAGAGUGUGGUUUGAUUUUUUGAUUAAUCAUAACAAAUUCACAAUUCUUGUUUAUAUUUUUUCAUUGUAUUUUUUUUUUUUCUCAUAUCUUUAAAUUGUCACAAACUGACCAUAUUCAAAUGAUUUAUUGAUAAAUUUUAAUUUUAAUAUAUUUUA